CGUUCUGCUUUUCAGUCCUCCGUCCGUCGGCGCUCGCAGCGCUCAUCGAGGGCAGGCGGCAACGGGAGAGCUGCGGGCAGAAACCCGGCCUCCGGUGGCUGAGGGGAAGCGCUGUGGCUUGGCGUUCAUGUGCAGUUAGCGCCUGCCUGCACGUCCCGCGCUGUGUGCUGCAGGCCGCGCGCUUGUACGAUAACUUAGUGCGUACAUUAUAAAAGGUAAUGUUAAGGGGCCAUGAUGAGAGGAGGUGUCCUCGGGUUUGUCAGUAAGCAUGAUGGUAAAGGCUUCAGUUACGUAGUUGUGGGCUGUUUCUCCUAUAGGAAUUUGCUUCACUCGGUGUGAAAGACGGAGAGAGCCUGCUGAGGGGGGAACCAGUCAAUAUUGCUUUUAAUCAUCCUCUACUGUGUUGCCGUGGGCUUUAUUCACCACAUGCCACUUACACACCACGUUGAAUGGAGUUACUAACUUCCACACAGGUGUCGCUAUGCUGUUCAUCAGUAUCCUACCGGAAUGCUUCACAAACAGCAAUUAACUUCUUGGUACUCAAUUGAGCUGUGAUGGUGUGAUUAUCCCUAUUUCAGAGGAAAGGAACUGGAGCAGGAAUAUUACAUUUAAAAUGUUCCACUCGCUGUACGUAGUUCAAGAUUUCAGGAGUCACACCUUUUAGGGUCUCUAACAGCGGAGGAGAGAGGGAAUGCAGGGUGGAUGGGCAUCACUACAUAUAGGACAAUGCCCUGUAAUUUCUUAAAUUUUCAGUGAUUUCAGCCUCAAGUAACUGCUUUCCAGUAGCAUAUUAUUUGUGACUAAUUUAUCUUCCUCUCAAGUAUAAUUGUGUAUGUCCCAGAAUAUUUUUCUUUGAUAAGGCUUUUAUGUUCAGUUCUUGAUUUUAAUGUGCAGGUUGCUAUCUGUGUUGGAAAAGGCAAGAUCAAAGAUGUAUGUUUUGAAGUACAAGCAGGUUGUGGCAAAAGACAAGAAGGGCUGUGUGUGUCACUUGCAUCCUGCUUGUCUUUGAGUCUGUGGCAUCUGACCAUUUACCACUAGUACAAAGAAGACUGACAUGGAUGCUAGAAGAUGGAGAUGCAUAGACAGUAGGGAAGGAAGAAACUCCAUGAAGGCAAACACAUUCAUGGUUGAGGCAGCUCUAUCGAGGUGAUGAUUCAUCAGUUCCUUGGCUGCUCUCCUUGUGGACAGAACAAUUUUGCACACUAGUGAGUGUAGAAUUUUAUUUUAUUAUUUAAAUAUUUGAGAUAAAGUAUCUUUCCUGGCAUCAGUAAACUGCAGUGGAUCUUUUUUGAGGCCCAAAAAAGUGAGCAGGUUUCUGGUAGCGUCUUGGUUAUGGUACAGAUACCGAAGGCAGAAUUUAUCAGACUGAACACUGGUGACUGUUGCAUAGGUGUCUACAUCAGGGUUGGUCAUCCCAUGCUCAUUUCAUAGUCUUUGGAGGGCUUGUUAAUAUGUCCAUGGAUGCAAUUCAGACCUUCAAAACCAGAAAGGUGAAUUGCAGCUAAAUCCAGACCACCUACA